AGCGUAUUAUGGCACCCAGCUAAUUCCGUUCCGCGAUCCCAAAAAGGGUCUUCUCAGCCCAGAAGACUACACCGGCAUCGAAUUCUGGUCCAACCCUGAACGCGCCGCCUGGCUCACCAAGCAAGGCGAGUACAUCAAGACCUGGUCCUCAAGCAAGGCAAGCUCUUCUGGUUCAAGGACUCCCACGUCACCCCCUCCUCCACCCCACGCGGCGUCAUCCCCGUCGGCACCUGCCUCACCGUCAAGGGCGCCGAGGACGUCCUCCACAAGCCCUGCGCCUUCGAGCUCUCCACCACCACCCACGACACCAUGUACUUCAUCGCCGAUACUGAGAAGGAGAAGGAGGAGUGGAUCAACUCCAUCGGACGGUCCUUAGUCCAGCACUCCAGAUCGCUCGCCGAUUACGAUAACCGCCGGUGAUGCUUGUCCCGAAGUCCUCAUCUGAUUUUCUUUCACAAGGAUUUGCGGGUUUAGCCAAAUAUUCUCAUGCUGUUCUGCACCGGGGAAAAUUAACUCCUGCUUCAUUCUUGUAUAUAUGAUUCUGUCUUCAGUUCUGUUCAAACCCCAGAGGAUCAAAUUUCAGUACUAUUUCUGAUUACUAGACAAGUAAUUGACACCACUCAGUAGAAUAGUAGUUUAAGGCAUGUGCUUGAAACAUAUACCACGUCUCAACGUUGAAAAACAAUAAAGGUGCUCAGCCAGAUUCCAAGUAAAA